AUCAACGCUGGCGGCGUGCCUCAGACAUGCAAGUCGAACGCGAAAGGUUCCUUCGGGGACCGAGUAGAGUGGCGCACGGGUGAGUAACACGUAGGUAAUUUGCCUUUGGGUGGGGAAUAACAGCCGGAAACGGCUGCUAAUACCGCAUAAUGCAGCGGCUCGACAUCGAGACAGUUGUUAAAGCGGGGAUCGCAAGACCUCGCGCCUAAAGAGAAGCCUGCGGCAGAUUAGCUAGUUGGUAGGGUAAUGGCCUACCAAGGCGACGAUCUGUAACCGGCCUGAGAGGGCGGUCGGUCACACUGACACUGACAUACGGGUCAGACUCCUACGGGAGGCAGCAGUCGGGAAUUUUGGGGCAAUGGGCGAAAGCCUGACCCAGCAACGCCGCGUGAAGGAUGAAGUAUUUCGGUAUGUAAACUUCGUAAAAAUAGGAAGAAUAAAUGACGGUACUAUUUGUAAGGU
rnacentral:rRNA from 1 species